rnacentral:lncRNA from 1 species
GGGAAUUUGUCAGGCUUAAAUUUUGCUAUUGGUAGCGGGGCUGACUCCCCGUCUGGAAGGGCUCAGCUCUGCAGCCCGGGCUCCAUCCACAGGACUCUCUCAUAGUCUGGCCUAGAGCUCUGGGCUGGGCAUAGUUUGGCCUCUGUUGGGGGCCAGAGGCCCUAGGAGGAGAUGAAAAAGGGCAGACUAUCCUUCCACAGAGCAUAAAACGCCUCCGCCCUCCAGCUGCCUGGACAAUGAGCCAGAGGGGUCUCCGUAGGCGACUGUUGACUGAUUCAGCCCUGGCAUAUGGCACCACCCCAGCUGCGGCACUGACCCUCCUUGCCCUGGCCACCAGUGUCUGUGCUGCCCGAUCCCUGCAGCCUGUCACGGCAACAGCUGGUGGGGAGACACAGCCCAGGCUGAGAUGGAUGGAACAAACCCGAACUGGCCAUGGGAUGUUGAAUUCGGCUGGAAAUGCCUCAAAAGGAGGACUUAGCACAGUGACUCAUUGGGAUCCCAGCUGUGCCAGACCCAGUCUCUGAGCAGACAACCUGUUCCCGGCUCCUCUCCCAUGGCUAAUGACUGUCAACGUCCUGUAAGCUCAGUAGGGAGCAGAGAGAAGGUCGGUUCACUCACCCACAUAGGAACACCAAGGGCCGUUUGGGUACCUAAGUCUGAACCUCGGAGGCAGCACUUCUUACUGGUAAGUAGGACU